rnacentral:rRNA from 1 species
UAAGGAAUAUUGGACAAUGGACGCAAGUCUGAUCCAGCCAUGCCGCGUGAAGGAUGAAUGCCCUCUGGGUUGUAAACUUCUUUUAUAGGGGAAGAAAGAUACUUUUUUUAAGGUAGUUGACGGUACCCUAUGAAUAAGCACCGGCUAACUCCGUGCCAGCAGCCGCGGUAAUACGGAGGGUGCAAGCGUUAUCCGGAUUUACUGGGUUUAAAGGGUGCGUAGGCGGGCAUGUAAGUCAGUGGUGAAAUACCGGAGCUUAACUUCGGAACUGCCGUUGAUACUAUAUGUCUUGAAUAUUGUGGAGGUAAGCGGAAUAUGUCAUGUAGCGGUGAAAUGCAUAGAUAUGACAUAGAACACCGAUUGCGGAGGCAGCUUGCUACGCAAAUAUUGACGCUGAGGCACGAAAGCGUGGGGAUCAAACA